AUUGAACGCUGGCGGCAGGCCUAACACAUGCAAGUCGAACGGUAACAGAAAGCAGCUUGCUGCUUUGCUGACGAGUGGCGGACGGGUGAGUAAUGUCUGGGAAACUGCCUGAUGGAGGGGGAUAACUACUGGAAACGGUAGCUAAUACCGCAUAACGUCGCAAGACCAAAGAGGGGGACCUUCGGGCCUCUUGCCAUCGGAUGUGCCCAGAUGGGAUUAGCUAGUAGGUGGGGUAACGGCUCACCUAGGCGACGAUCCCUAGCUGGUCUGAGAGGAUGACCAGCCAAACUGGAACUGAGACACGGUCCAGACGCCUACGGGAGGCAGCAGUGGGGAAUAUUGCACAAUGGGCGCAAGCCUGAUGCAGCCAUGCCGCGUGUAUGAAGAAGGCCUUCGGAUUGUAAAGUACUUUCAGCGGGGAGGAAGGCGGUGAAGUUAAUAACUUCACCGAUUGACGUUACCCGCAGAAGAAGCACCGGCUAACUCCGUGCCAGCAGCCGCGGUAA
rnacentral:rRNA from 1 species